CUGCAACAUUCUCGGAGGCACCAUAGGCAUGGAGCAUGAGCCCCGUUCCACAGAUGGGGAAGCUGAGGCACAGGAGCCAGGACGACUCCAACAUAUGGCUGGAGAAGAGGAGACAGAAAAGAGGGAGACCCGCUGCUCUCCCAGACAGCCUAGACUCUCAGUGACCUGUAACUGGAGCACAGACAUUCUGAUAAAAAAAAACCCACACUCACAACCUUCCUCCUCCCACAAAAGACAACAACCCACA